rnacentral:rRNA from 1 species
CCUACGGGGGGCAGCAGUGAGGAAUAUUGGUCAAUGGACGAGAGUCUGAACAAGCCAAGUAGCGUGAAGGAUGACUGCCCUAUGGGUUGUAAACCUCUGUUGUCGGGGAGCAAAAGCCGGACGUGUACGGCUGUGAGAGUACACGAAGAAAAAGCAUCGGCUAACGCCGUGCCAGCAGCCGCGGUAAUACGGAGCAUGAGAGCGUUAUGCGGAUUUAUUGGGGUUAAAGGGUGCGAAGGAGGAUUUUUAAGUCAGCGGUAAAAUCGUGGGGCUCAACCCCAUCCAGCCGUUGAAACUGGGGAUCUAGAGUGUGCGAGAGGUAUGCGGAAUUCGUGGUGUAGCGGUGAAAUGCAUAGAUAUCACGCAGAACCCCGAUUGCGAAGGCAGCAUACCGGUGCACAACUGACGCUCAGGCACGAAAGCGUGGGUAUCGAACAGGAUUAGAUACCCUUGUAGUC